rnacentral:lncRNA from 1 species
CUGUGCACUUGUUCAACUGGCUAUACCGUUCACUUUGGCAUUUGAGAAGGAUCUAUCACACAUUUGAAAAAGGAAGAAAAGGAGCCUGGGAGCCCCAUUUGAUGAUGAUACAAUAUAUAUAGACUCAAUUGGGGUGCCCGGAGGCGUCCCUGAUGACUUUAAGGCUAGAAAUCAAUUUCUGCAGGAUUUGAAUCUCUAUUCUGGUGGGUGACAAUUAACAAAAGUGAAGAUUGGAUAAGCUACAUCUAUUACAAUCAGCAGAGAUUUAUAAACUAUUCAAAGGAGGCAAUAAAGGGAAUUGCAGAACAAUUGGGUGCUACAAGCAGGAUGACCUGUUGCCAUAUAGAAUAGGAUCGCCCUAGACAUGAUACUAGCUGAAAAAGGGUGUGUGUGUGUAAUGUUGGGCACUCAUUGCUAUACUUGUAUUGCAAAUAACACAGCCCCAGAUAGCACGAUAACUAGAGCAUUACGGGGCUUACUACUCUUGCUAGUGAAUUAGCCGAAAACUCUGGAAUAGAUAGCUCCCUCACUGGGUGUUUGGGGUUCUAGUUUGGCAAAGGGAAAGGGAUGAUUGUAUCCAUAUUUACUUCUUUGACUGUGGUAGCAGGAGUCCUGACGGCCAUCGGUUGCUGUAUUAUCCCCUGCGUGGGGGGGUUGGUGCAGCGAUUAAUAGAAACUGCGCUGCUGAAGCAAACAGUAGUGGAACCAUCACCGUACUCGGAUAAAAUAAUGAUAUUAGACGAAAUGGAAAAUGAAGAAAGUGAAGAGGUCUUUAGAAUCGUACUUUAAAAAGGGGAGAAUUGCAGAAACAACAUUCCAUUUCCCACACUCAUCACCUUCCUUAAGCACUGAUUGCUGUAUAUUUUUAUACGUAUAUAAAUAUGUGUGGAGUGCUGUUGCUCAUCGGAUGAUCAGGCUUUUCUUGGUCAAGCACCACUCUUUGUUUUCCGGCCCUUGCAAAUUCUCCCCGCUAGGUGGAGGGAAAGGAAUGUGCGGGGUCCGGAGGAGUUGAGGUAGCCCCUUUCCUUCACUGCUGUAAUUUUAACUGAACAGUGUAGGUUACUUACUGAAUAGCAGCGUUGCUCAUCGUAACACUUAAGACAUUAUGGAUUUAUCUUUUUUUGUAAUGGUUUAGUGGGGUAACCCGUUAAGAAUUCGCCACUGAGAUGAUUCUCUGCUUUUCUUGGUUGUUAACUUGUGGUCAGAAAAUCUCAGAAUAGGCACUCAGUGCCAGUGUUGAGUGCAUAUGUUGAUAAACAUAUAUAGAGUAUGAGAACAAAUUUAGCAACAAAUUUAACAACAAAAAGUCGUAUUUCUCUUUAGUGGUCAUGCAUUGAAAUGAAGUAUACUUAAAUAUAUAAAUGUAAGUGAAUGUAACUGGGAUAGUACCAAUGUAAUUGCUUUUCCCAGUUGCUAUGGCUGAUGCAAAUCUAAUUGACAUGUAGUGUGGAUGGACAGAGAGAGAGAGACAUAUUCUGCUCAGCCUUCCCGCCCCUCAACCUUUUCCCCCUUCUCCAACUUCUUCCCUUGGCUCCCUUCUUCAGCCUGGCCAUGCUCACAAGUCCCUGCACAGGAAAAUAAUGAACAACAGAACAGGUAAAACAAAUUAAUGACCAUAAAUCCGUCUUGUACUCGGGACUGAAUGAACUCAUAGCACAGCCCUGGUUCAACUGACCAUGUGCCUAAAAGGCGAUCUAUGAAUAUAAGUCAG